UACGUAGGGGGGCAAGCGUUUGUCCGGAUUUAUUGGGCGUAAAGAGCGUGUAGGCGGCCUGGAAGGUCAGCUGUGAAAACUCGAGGCUCAACCUCGAGACGUCGGUUGAAACCACCUGGCUAGAGUCCGGAAGAGGAGUGUGGAAUUCCCGGUGUAGCGGUGAAAUGCGCAGAUAUCGGGAAGAACACCCGUGGCGAAGGCGGCACUCUGGGACGGUACUGACGCUGAGACGCGAAAGCGUGGGGAGCGAACAGG
rnacentral:rRNA from 1 species